GGGCGUGUGGCUCAGUUGGUAGAGCGUUCGCUUAGCAUAUUUCAGUUCGAAUGGUCUUUCAGAUCAGGAGAUUUGAGUCGAAUAUGCGAAAGGUCCUGGGUUCGAUUCCCAGCUCGUCCA